AAGUCGUAACAAGGUUUCCGUAGGUGAACCUGCGGAAGGAUCAUUACAGAAUAAACUUGGUGGGUUGUUGCUGGCUCUCAAUUGUGCAUGUGCACACCUGUCAUCUUUAUCUUUCCACCAUGUGCACUUUAUGUAGAACUGGAAUGAACAAUACGGCCUAGUCAACGUUUGUUGACUAUGGGAAUGUUGCUGAUUCUUCAGCUCAUUCUGUAUCUGGCUGUUUAUUCCGGGCUCUACGAUAUCUCUAUAUACACCACGUAUGUUAAUGAACGCAAUAAAUGGGCCCAGAAAGCCUAUAAAUCUAUAAUACAACUUUCAGCAACGGAUCUCUUGGCUCUC
rnacentral:misc_RNA from 1 species